CCUACGGGAGGCAGCAGUGGGGAAUAUUGGGCAAUGGAGGAAACUCUGACCCAGCGACGCCGCGUGCGGGAUGAAGGCCUUCGGGUUGUAAACCGCUUUCAGCAGGGAAGAAGCGAAAGUGACGGUACCUGCAGAAGAAGCACCGGCUAACUAUGUGCCAGCAGCCGCGGUAAUACAUAGGGUGCAAGCGUUGUCCGGAAUUAUUGGGCGUAAAGAGCUCGUAGGUGGUUCGUCACGUCGGAUGUGAAAAUCUGGGGCUUAACCCCAGACCUGCAUUCGAUACGGGCGAGCUUGAGUAUGGUAGGGGAGUCUGGAAUUCCUGGUGUAGCGGUGGAAUGCGCAGAUAUCAGGAGGAACACCAAUGGCGAAGGCAGGACUCUGGGCCAUUACUGACACUGAGGAGCGAAAGCGUGGGGAGCGAACAGGAUUAGAUACCCUGGUAGUCCACGCCGUAAACGGUGGGCACUAGUUGUGGGGACCUUCCACGGUCUCUGCGACGCNGCUACGCAUAAGUGCCCGCCGUCGGGAGGUACGAGUCGCGAAGAAUUAAACGUAACGAAACGGAAGUUAGACGGCGUGAGACGUGCCGACGGACGACGACGAGGGAGGUAGG
rnacentral:rRNA from 1 species